CCUACGGGAGGCAGCAGUGGGGAAUUUUGGACAAUGGGCGCAAGCCUGAUCCAGCCAUGCCGCGUGCGGGAAGAGGGCCUUCGGGUUGUAAACCGCUUUUGUCAGGGAAGAAAAGGUUCUGGUUAAUACCUGGGACUCAUGACGGUACCUGAAGAAUAAGCACCGGCUAACUACGUGCCAGCAGCCGCGGUAAUACGUAGGGUGCAAGCGUUAAUCGGAAUUACUGGGCGUAAAGCGUGCGCAGGCGGUUAUGCAAGACAGAGGUGAAAUCCCCGGGCUCAACCUGGGAACUGCCUUUGUGACUGCAUAGCUAGAGUGCGGCAGAGGGGGAUGGAAUUCCGCGUGUAGCAGUGAAAUGCGUAGAUAUGCGGAGGAACACCGAUGGCGAAGGCAAUCCCCUGGGCCUGCACUGACGCUCAUGCACGAAGACGGUGGGGAGGACGAAACAGGAGUUAGUACUACCCUACGGUAGUCCGACCGACCCUAAACCGAACUAGUCUAAC
rnacentral:rRNA from 1 species